GACGAACGCUGGCGGCGUGCUUAACACAUGCAAGUCGAGCGGAAAGGCCCUGCUUUUGUUGGGUUCUCGAUUGGCGAACGGGUGAGUAACACGUGAGUAACCUGCCCUUGACUUUCUGAUAACUUCAGGGGACUGCGGCUAAUACCGGGUAUAAUCUCCUGCUGCAUGGUGGUGGUUGGAAAAUGUCGGCUGUGGUGGAUGGAAUCGCGGCUUAUCAGCUUGUUGGUGGGGUAGUGGCUUACCACGGCUUUGACGGGUAGCCGGCCUGGGAGCGUGAACGGGGACCAGAGGCCUGAGAUACGGAGCAGAAUCGUACGGGCGGCAGCAGUGGGGAAUAUGGCACAGUGGGGGGACGCCUGAUACAGAAACGUCGCGUGCGGGAUGACGGCCUUUGGGUUAUAAACAGAUUUCGACUGUGAUGUAGAGUGCGUGACGGUAACGGGUCAAGAAGCAACGGCUAACUACGUG
rnacentral:rRNA from 1 species